GGGGGCUUUGGCCGAAGAACCUCCGAUGCCAAAGUUAGAAUUUGGAGAGAAAGAGUGUUUAGAGAAUUUUGGGAUUUUUGCCAAAGUGUUGGAAUGAAAUUUUGGUGAGAAUAUGUGUUUAUUUAUAGAGUUAGGGUUUGCCCUAUUUUGAAUAAUAGUAGCCAGCCAUAGGGUUUUUGUGGGGGUUAAUUUCAUGUUUAAUUUGCCAAUUUAUUGGCUAAUUAAAUAUGAAAAGAAUAAAUAGGUGGUUAUAAAAAUGAAUGAUUAUUUUAAUAAGGAAAAUGGGAAAGAUGAGGAUGUGAAUAGUGGGGGCCGGUUUUGGGCUAUUAAUUGGGUGAUUUUAGGAGAUAUGGUAGGUUUAUAUUAUUUAACUAAUUGAUUAGCUAAAUAAUGAAAUAGAAAAUACUAGGUUUUGGGAAAUACCUUAUAGAAAGGAUUUGAUGAGAGAGGUUUUUAAUUGUUACCUUUUUUGGGCACUUUUGACUUGAUUGAAAGAUGAUUGCCCACUGCUUGCGCGUAGGAAUCCUUGUAUGCUUCGAGGGUAUUUUUGUCCUCUUUUGUCCAAAAGUCCACGUGUCGCCUAGCGAAUAUUUUUGGCUCCACAGUCACGACAUUGACACAAGAAGUGGCUAAUUUGAGGAGUAAGUUCGCAUCCACGUAGAGUCAGAUGUCGUUGGCUGUAUAGGCCCUCACCUCGUCUGGCCUCCGUCUCCUACUAGGUUUUGAUGCUCUAUCGACCUCCAAGCUUAUCCAUUUGGAACAAACCUAGCACCCCGGUCCGUCGACUAGACGCAAGACAUCCAACACCUCACCAACGCUGACCAAAUAGACUUUUAGUCCCUUUUUGUUUAGAUUUUUUUUUCAGCUUACUUUUAAAAAUUUCAGCUUGUUCGUACAUUUUCCUUUAUAUUAUAAAAUUUUCUUAUUAAUUAUUGUUAAAAUUUAAUUUUUUAAAUUAA
rnacentral:lncRNA from 1 species